UAAUAACCAGUAUUCCCCCCAUCAGUGUGC
rnacentral:piRNA from 1 species